rnacentral:rRNA from 1 species
AGAGUUUGAUCAUGGCUCAGAACUAACGCUGGCGGCGUGCCUAACACAUGCAAGUCGUACGAGAAAGUUGGCUUCGGCCGAUGAGUAAAGUGGCGCACGGGUGAGUAACGCGUGGAUAAUCUACCCCUCAGUUGGGAAUAACUCAUCGAAAGGUGGGCUAAUACCGAAUGAUACUGCAUGACUUCUGUUGUGUAGUCAAAGAUGGCCUCUGCUUGCAAGCUAUCGCUGAAGGAUGAGUCCGCGUACCAUUAGCUAGUUGGUAGGGUAAUGGCCUACCAAGGCAACGAUGGUUAGCUGGUCUGAGAGGAUGAUCAGCCACACUGGAACUGAGACACGGUCCAGACUCCUACGGGAGGCAGCAGUGAGGAAUAUUGCGCAAUGGGGGCAACCCUGACGCAGCAACGCCGCGUGAGUGAGGAAGGUUUUCGGACCGUAAAGCUCUGUCGAGCGGGAAGAAAUGCAUAGUGGCUAAUAUCCAUUAUGCUUGACGGUACCGCUAAAGGAAGCACCGGCUAACUCCGUGCCAGCAGCCGCGGUAAUACGGGGGGUGCUAGCGUUGUUCGGAAUCAUUGGGCGUAAAGAGCGUGUAGGCGGCUGGAUAAGUCAGAUGUGAAAGCCCUGGGCUUAACCUAGGAAGUGCAUUUGAAACUGUUCAGCUUGAGUAAGGGAGAGGAAAGUGGAAUUCCUGGUGUAGAGGUGAAAUUCGUAGAUAUCAGGAGGAACACCGGUGGCGAAGGCGACUUUCUGGCCCUAUACUGACGCUGAGACGCGAGAGCGUGGGUAGCAAACAGGAUUAGAUACCCUGGUAGUCCACGCUGUAAACGAUGUUCACUAGGUGUUGGGGGUAUUGACCCUCUCAGUGCCGCAGCUAACGCAUUAAGUGAACCGCCUGGGGAGUACGGUCGCAAGAUUAAAACUCAAAGGAAUUGACGG